AUGCUGCAGUCGUUUGGUGUGUAUUUAUUAAAAAGAAAAAGCGGAGUUACAUUUUUUAAGUCAAGAGCUUGUUCCACAGAUCUCCACUUACUGCACAGGUCACAGACUGGGACCCACGGGGUCCCUCCUGCUGCCACAGCCGAGCGCGGCUCAGGGCAGCACCGAGCGACGGCCUUUUGCCACCCGCUGCUGUCACUGCUGGCCAUCUCCGGGAGAGACCCCUCAUUCCUCCCCCAGAAAUUGCCUUUUGUGUUUUUUAUUUUUUUCCUUUUUCACUCUCACGGGAGAAGGGCCCGCUGCAGGGCCAGGCAGCGGGGGCGGCAGGCUCGGGGCCCACAGGGCCGCCCCCCAGCUCCGGGCCCAGGGCUCUCAGCAGUUAGCGAGGAGUUUUCACUUUCCAAAAUACAGGGAAAAAAAGGUGGAAGAGCCCCGCUGGAGACACGGAGAUGUUUUCCUCUCUGCCAGGAACGUGCUAAUUCACGCCUGCACACUGAGCUUGUGGCCUGCAGAGGAGGGAAACAUCCAGCGGGGACUGCAAUAACGCCGGGCGGCGUGUGCUGGGCUGCGGGGAGGCGCGGGGCUUUCUGCUGCCUGUACGGGACCGCACCACGGAGCGGUUUGGGUCGGAAUAGCCCCAAAGCUCACCCAGCUGCCACCCCCUGCCGCGGGCAGGCACAGCUCCCGGCAGCUCAGGGUGCCCAGCGCCCACCCAGCCUGGCCUCGAGCACCCCCAGGGACGGGGCACCCCCAGCUUCUGGGGGAGCCGUGCCAGCGCCUCGCCGCCCCCCGAGCGAAGCGCUUCCCCCCGACCCCUGCACCGAGCCUCCCCUCUUUCACCCUGAGACCCUUCCCCCCCGGCCCUAUCGCUACCUACGUGCGACACCCGCCUCCUACUUCGCCCCAGGCCCCGGCAGCCCGCUGCGAGCUCUCCGCGGCGCCGCCCCCCCUCCGGCAGCACCCCCGGGGCCAACCCCCGAGCCCCCCCAGCCCUGCCCGGGACAGACCCACGGACACACAGACACACGGACAGGCGCGCCCCGCACUCACCCGCCGCCCCUUCCGCCUUCCUCCCCCUCCGCCGCUCCCCGGCUGCCGGCGGAACCCCGGCACCGGCCCCGCCCCGCCCCGGGACGCGCGGCCGGAAGAAGGAGGCGGAGGCGGGGAGCGAGGCUCGGAGCUUUAAUGCGGGGCCCGGCCCGUACAGCCCGGGGCUCG
rnacentral:lncRNA from 1 species